GCCUGGGAUAAGUACCAUAAGCUCAGUGGUAGAGCAUCCGCUUUGCAUGCAAAAGGUCAUGGGUUCAAACCCCCCAGAUAAGGCU